GAGGCGCCAGCAGUGGUGGAUGUGGGGAGAGAGAUGCCAGAGGUUACUAUGAGCAGACGAUCUGGACGUGUGUCUUUUGAACACUAUUAAGCUGGCAGUAUUGACGCUCGCUGUAUUGCAGUAGUUCGAGUAACGAAGAUUUUUGUGAGGGUACCAACUUGUAGCCGAAGUAGCUGGAUGGUGGGGAUGCCUAUUUUAGGUA